GCCGCAGUAGCCUAGUUGGUAGUAGCGUUGGGAGUACAGAUGCCGAAAGUCGCAGGUUCAAAUCCUGCCUGCGGUA